rnacentral:rRNA from 1 species
CGUGAGUGAUGAAGGCUUUCGGGUCGUAAAACUCUGUUGUUAGGGAAGAACAAGUGCUAGUUGAAUAAGCUGGCACCUUGACGGUACCUAACCAGAAAGCCACGGCUAACUACGUGCCAGCAGCCGCGGUAAUACGUAGGUGGCAAGCGUUAUCCGGAAUUAUUGGGCGUAAAGCGCGCGCAGGUGGUUUCUUAAGUCUGAUGUGAAAGCCCACGGCUCAACCGUGGAGGGUCAUUGGAAACUGGGAGACUUGAGUGCAGAAGAGGAAAGUGGAAUUCCAUGUGUAGCGGUGAAAUGCGUAGAGAUAUGGAGGAACACCAGUGGCGAAGGCGACUUUCUGGUCUGUAACUGACACUGAGGCGCGAAAGCGUGGGGAGCAAACAGAAUUAGAUACCCUGGUAGUCC